rnacentral:lncRNA from 1 species
CUCCCUGGACUGGAUUGAGAUGGCAGCUCUUCGGCCCCUUUCCAGGUGCAUCUCUCCCUGCAGGGCCUGCAGAAGCAGCCCCUCGUUGGAGGCCCCCCUGCUGGUCCAGACUCUCAUCCUUUCCACCAUGGCCCCCAGCAGCCCUCCCGUCUGCAACCUGGGGUCCUUCCAGCCAUUCUCUGCACAGCGACCAGAAGCUUUUAGAGAGGGACGUCUGACAGUGCUCCUCCUGGGACCUGCAGGAUGGUGGGCAAACUCCUUGGUGUGUAGCGUGACAGUGACAAGCGGGCCCUUUGGAAUGCCAUGCUCCUGACGUCUCUCCAUGUGUGGGCGCCCUGUGCUUGAUGGAAGGGGAGCUGUGGGCACAGCCUUGACAGUCUAGGAGGGGGUGCCUCAGGGAGAAGGUGGGGCAGGGGCAGGGGUGCUCCCAGCAGCACUGGUGCAAGAACAGAGGCUGGAAGCCAACUGCAUCCGGCGUUGCUUCAUGGACCCACCUGGGCACUACUGGUGGUAGGGGCUGUUUUUGCUUUCUUACAAAGACCCAAAUGAAGAGAGUAGGAGGUAGAGAAACCUAACUUUUGAUGCCAUAAAGGAGUGGGAACCAGGCUGCCUAGUGAUCCCAAGCUCCCAAAUGCGCUUGCAGGCCGCCGUGGGGUGCUGUCAGCCAGUGUAGCCAGCUUCAACCCCGCCACACGCACGCUUUCUCUGCAUGGCUGUGGGGCUGCGUUGCAAGCCACACCGCAAUUUCGACUCCCACACGUCGAGUCGGCAUCCACGUCUCUAAGUGGGCCUGCCUUUCAUAUUUACAUUAAAGCCCGCAAUGUAUUCACUAUGAUUUUGUUGGGUUUUUUUAUCCCAAUACCUAAGUUGUUUGAAUAUCCAGGCACCAAAUGAGUAUAGGUUGGUCCCAACCAUAAUUACCUUCUUAAGGAAACAGCUUUUAAAUAAUUCAGAGUCACAUCUGUGAACACUCCGCAGGCUCUGUUUGUAGAUAAGAUUUUCUAAAGAGGAAAAAAGUCAAAUAUUCCCAGGGUGGUUUUGGGGUCAGUGGGGGAGAGGAGGGGAAAGGACAAAGAAUUCUGAAACAGUAAUUUCAAAUUUCACAGCAGGGCUGGGAGAGGAUAGUAUGAUGAAGACGGGUCCCAGCCUUCCAGAGCCCCCUUUGCUAGCUGACGCACAGUGCCGAGGCUCUGCCCUGUAACAGAACGUGGGCCACACCUCAGCUGCCAGUCAUGGCGUCACACAGCGGCUCAGGAGCCGGCUCCCCGAGGCCUCCUGUCUUGCCCUGCCCAGCUGUAGGCCAUGGGCCCCGCUUUCCUGGCUCAGCCCCACAGGGCGGGUUGGAAGCGCUGCUGCUUUGCACACUGUUCACUAGAGGCGUGAGGUGCAAAUGCCUGUGCUGGCACGGCCUCACCAGGGCUGAUCUAAACCAGGGGUGAUUUUUGACCAGCAGCUCAGUGGUCACAGAGGCUGCUGCUGUGAGCACAUUUCCCAGAUGGCAGCGACGUGAAGGCCAGGACGAUUACAUUCAAAAGAGAAUAAUGGAUGGCUAGCCAAAGACUGCUGCCUGGGGGCUAAGGGGCUGCCAUUAGAGGGUGAAGUUCAAGGGCUGAGCUCUCACAGUGCAUGGAGUAUGACCCCAGCCUGCACAUGGACGCUGAGCUGCUGCAGGAAGCAGAGCCCUUAAUUCGACGGGGCUCCCACAGGUUUAACAGCCACCAGGGCCUGAGGAGCAUCUCUUCCCUGUGACGUGGAAGGCUUCUCAGAGCAGGAGAAGGUGCCGUGCCGCACGCUCACCCCAGAGCUGGCUCGGAUGGACCCCGGGGGUGGUGUAUGGGCGGAGAAGGUGCUGAGAACAAGCUGCAGGUGUGACUGCUUCUGCCUCCCCAGACUCAUCUCAAUGGGAGUGCAGGCCGGGCAUCGCUCUGGAUUUGCAGUUGUCCUUCAGACCGCACGAGGGCAGGC